rnacentral:rRNA from 1 species
AUUGAACGCUGGCGGCAGGCCUAACACAUGCAAGUCGAACGAGUGGCGGACGGGUGAGUAAUGUCUGGGAAACUGCCUGAUGGAGGGGGAUAACUACUGGAAACGGUAGCUAAUACCGCAUACCAUCAGAUGUGCCCAGAUGGGAUUAGCUAGUAGGUGGGGUAACGGCUCACCUAGGCGACGAUCCCUAGCUGGUCUGCGAGGAUGACCAGCAACACGGGAAAUGAGAAAGGGUCCAGACUCCUACGGGAGGCAGCAGUGGGGAAGAGUGCACAAUGGGCGAAAGCCUGAUGCAGCCAUGCCGCGUGUGUGAAGAAGGACUUCGGGUUGGAAAGCACUUUCAGCGGGGAGGCGUUACCCGCAGAAGAAGCACCGGCUAACUCCGUGCCAGCAGCCGCGGUAAUUC